UGCGAUAGCAGUUGUGGUGUAAGGAUGUUGAAAGAGAUUUGCAUGCUUGAAAGUGUUCCUGCUUUAAUCAUUGAAAGCAUCUGGCAUAUUGGUCUCAUUACUGGGUCAACCGCUUUAAGAUUCUUCAACAAGCCCUGAUGCAAGUAAAAGCACUUUAAUCCAAGCCCAGCAGUAUCUGGUUGACCAUCUGAAGCUGUCUGGCAAUUCCAGAGUCCUAAUGUUGGCUUUAUUCCAGAUGUUACCCCACUCUACACAUCUUUUGGUCAAGCCCUGGUCAGUCAAACCAGAGGACACAAACCGCAGGAGCUCUGUAAUAUUUAGGAGGUGUGGCACAACCAACGCAACCAGGCCCAAGUGCCAGUGUUACAGCUGAUGAUACAGCAGAUCCAUCCUCUGCAGGUGAGGAGCACUUACUAGCAUCUGCGUCCACGGAUCCUGCUGUUCCUUCCAUGUCCGUUUCAACCUCCGCAGAUGUAGCAGGUAAUUCUAGUUGUGGUCAUUGGGAUCUAUCACAUCUACUCCUUCAACUUUCAGCCUACACUAUGGAUCAGAAGGGCCUCCAGUUGACCCAGCUGAGAGGUCAUCUAUCCGGUCUUACUCGGAAAGGACCGAUCUGGUAAGCAGAGGGUCACUGCCUAAAAAGCAAAACUUCACAUUCCCUAAAUAAACUUGAUGGCAAAAACUUCCACUACACCUACAGUUAAUUAAUGGGGGGGGGGGGAAUCGGAAUCGGCCAACUGUUUGUAGUUGAUCUUCACUUUUGUACAUUGGUAAUUUUUAACGAAGCAAUUUAAAAUGGUUAACUUGUUUACAGUAAAUGCAUUGUCUGCUGGUUUAUUUGGCUACUUUUCAGUACACAAGUAUACCACUUAAUACUGUACGACUUUGAAUGUUAAAGUGCAAAUUAACAGCUGACCACUCUUGUGGGUGUGCUGCUGUUACAAUUUAAAAACCGUAGAAGGGCAAAAUGCCAGGCAGACAUUGAUAUGACGUAAGCAACAAGGCUACAACAAAUAAAAUUGAUGUUUGUGUUGGAUUCAUAGUGUGUGAAUCAAGCAUUGACCGUAGUCAAUCAUAUUGGUGGCACAGAGGUCCCCAAAUAAAAUUCUGCUUGGGAGACCAAUAAAGGCUUGGACUGUCCCUGACUGAAACCAUAAUUAUGCAUUCACUGUUUUUGGCUCCAGUGUACCCACAUGUUGUUGUUGUUGUUGUUGUUGUUGUAGUAGUAGUUCUUGUACUAGUUUUCUCACAACUGCUGGAUGUGGAACUGUCCUCCUUUUGAAUAAGUAUUUUGGAACUUUUUUUUUUUUUUUUUUUUUGCAAUCUUUGCUCAAGUGCCUUUGCGUGAAACAUCUAGUUUAUAAACUUAAUUUGUAUGUGCUUGAUCCUUAAAUUUGAAACCGGAAUUCAAAGCAUGGUUUUCUCAACUGAACAUGUGCACAACGCAAGCUGUUUUGUCAAGUUGGGGUUAGCCAACAGAUCAACAGAAUGGCUUUCUCAGCCCUUUUCAUUUGUGGAAUUGAAGUAGAACUGGUUGC